UCCCUAAUGGUCCAGUGGCUAAGACUCUGCACUCCUAAUGCAGGGGGCCUGGGUUUGAUCCUGGUCAGGGUA
rnacentral:tRNA from 1 species